UCUACGGGAGGCAGCAGUGGGGAAUCUUGCGCAAUGGGCGAAAGCCUGACGCAGCGACGCCGCGUGCGGGAAGAAGGCCUUCGGGUUGUAAACCGCUUUCAGGAGGGACGAAGCCACUCGGGUGAAUAGCCCAGAGGGUGACGGUACUUCCAGAAGAAGCCCCGGCUAACUACGUGCCAGCAGCCGCGGUAAUA
rnacentral:rRNA from 1 species